rnacentral:rRNA from 1 species
AGAACGAACGCUGGCGGCAUGCCUAAUACAUGCAAGUCGAACGAACUCUUCGGAGUUAGUGGCGCACGGGUGCGUAACGCGUGGGAAUCUGCCCCUUGGUUCGGAAUAACAGUUGGAAACGACUGCUAAUACCGGAUGAUGACGAAAGUCCAAAGAUUUAUCGCCAAGGGAUGAGCCCGCGUAGGAUUAGCUAGUUGGUGAGGUAAAGGCUCACCAAGGCAAACGAUCCUUAGCUGGUCUGAGAGGAUGAUCAGCCACACUGGGACUGAGACACGGCCCAGACU